UUCCAGCUCCAAUAGCGUAUAUUAAAGUUGUUGCGGUAAAAAAGCUCGUAGUUGGAUUUCUGUUGAGGGCGUCCGGUCCGUACCACGUACGCGUAUCUGGGUCGCGCUCGGCAUCCUCUCGAAGGACGGUUCUCGCGCUUGAUUGCGUGGUCCAGGUUUCGGGACUUUUACUUUGAGGAAAUUAGAGUGUUCACGGCAGGCAAUUGCCCGGAUACAUUAGCAUGGGAUAAUACUAUAGGAUUUUGGUUCUAUUUUGUUGGUUUCUAGGACUAAAAUAAUGAUUAAUAGGGACAAUUGGGGGCAUUCGUAUCAACACGCUAGAGGUGAAAUUCUUGGAUUGUGUUGCGACGAACUACUGCGAAAGCAUUUGCCAAGGAUGUUUUCAUUG
rnacentral:rRNA from 1 species